GAACCCUGCCCGGAUGCAACCGGUCCGGGUCCGGGUCCGGGCUAGAUUUUAAUCCGGGUACCCGAAUUUUAUAUUUUUUAAUAUUAUAUGUGUAUAUAUUUUUUUAUUUUUUUGUAAUUUUAUAAGUUUUAAAUUUAUUUCAAUAAAAUUUGACAUGAAAAUAUAAACUUUAAGUGUUUAAAACUUUAUAUAUGUAUAAUAAAUGAGUCAAAUAAAUAUAAAUAUUUAAAAUAAUAUAUAUUUUAUAAUAUUUUUUUAAUAAAAUCUGGGUUCUGAUUUUAUCAAGUGAUGCCCAAGACCGACCCGACUUCAUAUCCGAGCCGGGUACCACAACGCCCGGGUACGGUCCGGGUCCAGACCGGGCAGGUAUUUUUGCCACCUCUAGUUGUUGUUGCUGUUGGUCUUGGCCUUUCUUCCAACUCACACUCACGCCCGAACUUGCUCUCACUUUCGCUCUAGCUCCCGGCUCCGACUUUCACUCUUCUCAUCAAGGUUACUCAACUUUAAACUUAGCCUUGUAUUUGUUAAAGUGAUUUAGAUCUGUAAUUUGUUAUAUUUGGGGAAAACGAUUUGUCAAUGAUAUAGUGUAGAAAUAUAAUGCUUACAUAAUAUUUGACAAAAUGCCACAAAGAACUAUAGAACUAUUUGUCAUCUUUUAA
rnacentral:lncRNA from 1 species